GUGUGCCUACGGGGCGCAGCAGUGAGGAAUAUUGGUCAAUGGACGCAAGUCUGAACCAGCCAUGCCGCGUGCAGGAUGACGGCUCUAUGAGUUGUAAACUGCUUUUGUACGAGGGUAAACCCCGAUACGUGUAUCGGGUUGAAAGUAUCGUACGAAUAAGGAUCGGCUAACUCCGUGCCAGCAGCCGCGGUAAUACGGAGGAUCCGAGCGUUAUCCGGAUUUAUUGGGUGUAAAGGGUGCGUAGGCGGCUUUUUAGGUCUAAGGUUUAAGCCCGGAGCUUAACUCCGGUUCGCCUUAGAAACCGA
rnacentral:rRNA from 1 species